AGUGAACGCUGGCGGUAGGCCUAACACAUGCAAGUCGAACGGCAGCACAGGAGAGCUUGCUCUCUGGGUGGCGAGUGGCGGACGGGUGAGGAAUACAUCGGAAUCUACCUUUUCGUGGGGGAUAACGUAGGGAAACUUACGCUAAUACCGCAUACGACCUACGGGGGAAAGUGGGGGACCGCAAGGCCUCACGCGAUAAGUGGAGCCGAUGUCCGAUUAGCUAGUUGGCGGGGUAAUGGCCCACCAAGGCGACGAUCGGUAGCUGGUCUGAGAGGAUGAUCAGCCACACUGGAACUGAGACACGGUCCAGACUCCUACGGGAGGCAGCAGUGGGGAAUAUUGGACAAUGGGCGCAAGCCUGAUCCAGCCAUACCGCGUGGGUGAAGAAGGCCUUCGGGUUGUAAAGCCCUUUUGUUGGGAAAGAAAUCCUGUCGAUUAAUACUCGGUGGGGAUGACGGUACCCAAAGAAUAAGCACCGGCUAACUUCGUG
rnacentral:rRNA from 1 species